CGAGCGAUGAGUUCCUUCGGGAACGGAUUAGCGGCGAACGGGUGAGGAACACGUGAGGAAUCUGCCUUCUACUCUGGGAUAACUCCGGGAAACCGGGGCUAAUACCGGAUAUGAAACCUGAUGGCAUCAUCGGGUUUGGAAAGUUUUUCGGUAGAAGAUGACCUCGCGGCCUAUCAGCUUGUUGGUGAGGUAAUGGCUCACCAAGGCGACGACGGGUAGCCGGCCUGAGAGGGCGACCGGCCACACUGGGACUGAGACACGGCCCAGACUCCUACGGGAGGCAGCAGUGGGGAAUAUUGGGCAAUGGAGGAAACUCUGACCCAGCGACGCCGCGUGCGGGAUGAAGGCCUUCGGGUUGUAAACCGCUUUCAGCAGGGAAGAAGCGAAAGUGACGGUACCUGCAGAAGAAGCACCGGCUAACUAUGUGCCAGCAGCCGCGGUAAUACAUAGGGUGCAAGCGUUGUCCGGAAUUAUUGGGCGUAAAGAGCUCGUAGGUGGUUCGUUACGUCGGAUGUGAAAAUCUGGGGCUCAACCCCAGACCUGCAUUCGAUACGGGCGAACUAGAGUGUGGUAGGGGAGACUGGAAUUCCUGGUGUAGCGGUGGAAUGCGCAGAUAUCAGGAGGAACACCAAUGGCGAAGGCAGGUCUCUGGGCCAUUACUGACAC
rnacentral:rRNA from 1 species